GCGCUGAGGAAGCCAGAUCAAGAGUGACACAGAGGUCGCCAGAGAGAUUGAAAGGGAGAGAGAUUGCUGGAGAGGUCGCAGAGAGAGAGAUUGAAAGGGAGAGGGAUUGCUGGAGAGGUCGCAGAGAGAGAGAUUGAAAGGGAGAGGGAUUGCUGGAGAGGUCGCAGAGAGAGAGGUUGAAAGGGAGAGGGAUUGCUGGAGAGGUCGCAGAGAGAGAGAGGUUGAAAGGGAGAGGGAUUGCUGGAGAGGUCGCAGAGAGAGAGAGAGGUUGAAAGGGAGAGGGAUUGCAGGAGAGGUCGCAGAGAGAGAGAUUGAAAGGGAGAGGGAUUGCUGGAGAGGUCGUUAGAGAUUUAGGAGCGAGAUGAUAGUGAUCGAGUGGCGAGAUGAUGAGAAGGGCUGGGAGAGGCUCUCUGUGUUGCGUAAGAGAUGAGAUGAGAUGAGGGCGCUCGCUCGGUGGCGCUCGCUCGGUGUUUCCCCCUUGGAGUCGUCCACAGCGGC
ensembl:lncRNA